GCCAGACUCCUACGGGAGGCAGCAGUGAGGAAUAUUGGUCAAUGGGCGGGAGCCUGAACCAGCCAAGUCGCGUGAGGGAAGACGGUCCUACGGAUUGUAAACCUCUUUUGCCGGGGAGCAACGGGGUCCUUGCGAGGGCCCGAUGAGAGUACCCGGAGAAAAAGCAUCGGCUAACUCCGUGCCAGCAGCCGCGGUAAUACGGAGGAUGCGAGCGUUAUCCGGAUUUAUUGGGUUUAAAGGGUGCGUAGGCGGGCUGUUAAGUCAGCGGUCAAAUGUCGGGGCUCAACCCCGGCCUGCCGUCGGAACUGGGUGCCUUGAGUGGGCGAGAAGUAUGCGGAAUGCGCGGUGUAGCGGUGAAAUGCAUAGAUAUCGCGCAGAACUCCGAUUGCGAAGGCAGCAUGCCGGCGCCACACUGACGCUGAGGCACGAAAGCGUGGGUAUCGAACAGGAUUAGAUACCCCAGUAGA
rnacentral:rRNA from 1 species